rnacentral:sRNA from 1 species
UUGAGUUUUUGGCUGGCAGCUUUGGUGU